GGCUUCGUAGCUCAGCUGGUAGAGCGUGCAAAAGCGUAGGCGGCAUCCAUGCGUGGGUUCUAAUCCCACCGAGGCUA
rnacentral:tRNA from 1 species